CGCGACCGCCUUUUCCUUGCAGGAGGGAAACUUCUCCCAGCAACUUUUUUUUUUGGUGUGAGAGUGUGUGCGUGGUGCGUGUGUGUGUGUGUGUGUCUCCCUUUUGGGUACCGCUGGCUGCCGCUGCCUCCUUUUUCUCCAGCCCCUGUCUAUUUAUGUGUGUAUCUAUCCCUCCUCAAGUCACUCCCUGCUGCAAACUUCCCCGGAUCGUCUCCCGCGCACCAGAGAGAGACGGGCAGAGAUUGGGUCGGGGACUCUCGUCGCGGCAGCAUGUUUCAGCCCACACCCAAGCGGUGUUUCACCAUCGAGUCGCUGGUGGCCAAAGACAGCCCCUUGCCCGCGUCUCGCUCCGAGGAUCCUAUCCGGCCGGCGGCGCUCAGCUAUGCCAAUUCCAGCCCGAUGAACCCUUUUCUCAACGGCUUCCACUCCACUGGCAGGGGGGUCUACUCCAACCCGGACUUGGUCUUUGCAGAGGCCGUCUCCCACCCGCCGAACCCGGCCGUGCCGGUCCACCCCGUGCCCCCUCCUCACGCCCUGGCCGCCCACCCGCUGCCUGCUUCGCACUCCACGCACCCGCUCUUCGCCUCGCAGCAAAGGGACCCCUCCACCUUCUACCCGUGGCUAAUACACCGCUACCGGUAUCUGGGCCACAGGUUCCAAGGGAAUGAAACCAGCCCGGAGAGCUUCCUAUUGCACAAUGCACUGGCCAGGAAACCCAAACGGAUCCGUACAGCUUUCUCCCCAUCCCAAUUACUGAGACUGGAACAUGCCUUUGAGAAGAACCAUUAUGUAGUAGGAGCAGAGAGAAAACAGCUGGCACACAGCCUCAGCCUCACGGAAACUCAGGUAAAAGUAUGGUUUCAGAACAGACGGACAAAGUUCAAGCGGCAAAAGUUGGAAGAGGAAGGUUCAGACUCACAACAGAAGAAAAAAGGGACUCAUCACAUUAACCGGUGGAGAAUCGCCACCAAGCAAGCCAGUCCAGAGGAAAUCGACGUCACGUCGGACGAUUAAAAACUGGCACUUUUGGACUUUUGCAAGCCAGCACCCCACCAACCGAAAGUGUUAAAGGCUCACCCCCCCACCCCCUCCACCCCCGCGGCGUGGCGGUGCGGGGAAGGACACGGAGAUCUUCAUCCAAACGCGAUUCCCACCCGGGAGGGAGCUGGGAGAGAGCGAGGGCCAGCCAGCGAGGGCUCCGAACUGUGGCACUGCCGGCACCGCUCUGGCAAAGGGGAUCUGUCAAUCAAAGCCAAAACACCGGGACGAGGUGAUUGACAGUGCUGGGAUGCUGUGCAGGUGACCAUACAGUGAAAGCCCCUUCAGCAGAAGGCACAGCAGACGUGUCACUGACCCUCUCGUAGUUUUUCCAGAGUGAAAAGAAUUCAGAAGAAGAAGAAGAAGAU